ACGCUCGACACCUACGGGAGGCAGCAGUGGGGAAUAUUGCACAAUGGGGGAAACCCUGAUGCAGCGACGCCGCGUGAAGGAAGAAGUAUCUCGGUAUGUAAACUUCUAUCAGCAGGGAAGAAAAUGACGGUACCUGACUAAGAAGCCCCGGCUAACUACGUGUCAGCAGCCGCGGUAAUCUGAGCGGGCUGGCAAGGC
rnacentral:rRNA from 1 species